rnacentral:rRNA from 1 species
CYYCYCUGGCCCRGGKGGKAGAUCGGAUWUYUUKYSCCRURRURWARMMCUUAGAGUUUGAUCCUGGCUCAGAACGAACGCUGGCGGCGUGCUUAACACAUGCAAGUCGAACGUGAUCCAGAGCUUGCUCCGGUGAAAGUGGCGCACGGGUGAGUAACGCGUGGAUAAUCUGCCCUGGUAUCUGGGAUAACAUCUCGAAAGGGGUGCUAAUACCGGAUAAGCCUACGGUCUCUUCGGAGUCUGCAGGAAAAGGUGGCCUCUAUUUAUAAGCUACCGUAUCAGGAUGAGUCCGCGUACCAUUAGCUAGUUGGUGGGGUAAUGGCCCACCAAGGCUACGAUGGUUAGCUGGUCUGAGAGGAUGAUCAGCCACACUGGAACUGAGACACGGUCCAGACUCCUACGGGAGGCAGCAGUGGGGAAUUUUGCGCAAUGGGGGAAACCCUGACGCAGCAACGCCGCGUGAGUGAUGAAGGCUUUCGGGUCGUAAAGCUCUGUCAGAGGGGAAGAAAUGAGUCUGGCUAAUAUCCAGAUUUCUUGACGGUACCCUCAAAGGAAGCACCGGCUAACUCCGUGCCAGCAGCCGCGGUAAUAC